rnacentral:misc_RNA from 1 species
CAUGGCGGAGGAGGUGGGCACCUGGUACCCCCGGGUGUGUUGCCUUCACGCUUCUCUACCCUUGUCUAUUGGCACCUUUUGUCGUUCCCUCGGUGGGUCUUGUGCCUGCCGGCGGCAACUUUCAAAACCUCUUGCAGUUAGCAUCGAAUUCUUCUGAUAUAUAACAAAUCGUUA